UGAUUAUACAGAAGAGUGGAGAGAUCGGGCUCUGUGAAACUCUGGCAACCAACCGUCUGUCGGAUGACGGAUGACAAGGUGCCAAUACCCGGCCGGAAACGGAAUUAUAAUUG
rnacentral:ncRNA from 1 species